UACGUAGGGUGCAAGCGUUAAUCGGAAUUACUGGGCGUAAAGCGUGCGCAGGCGGCUAUGCAAGACAGAUGUGAAAUCCCCGGGCUCAACCUGGGAACUGCAUUUGUGACUGCAUGGCUAGAGUACGGUAGAGGGGGAUGGAAUUCCGCGUGUAGCAGUGAAAUGCGUAGAGAUGUGGAGGAACACCGAUGGCGAAGGCAGCCCCCUGGGCUAACACUGACGCUCAUGCACGAAAGUGUGGGGAGCAAACAGG
rnacentral:rRNA from 1 species